rnacentral:tRNA from 1 species
GCGCCCGUAGCUCAGCCGGAUAGAGUGUCAGACUCCGAUUCUGAAGGUCGCAAGUUCGAAUCUUGUCGGGCGUGCCA